rnacentral:rRNA from 1 species
UACCGGGAAAAAAUAAGAGUGUUCAAAGCAGGCAGAUCCAAUUUUCUGCCACCGAAUACAUUAGCAUGGGAUAAUGGAAUAGGACCCUGUCCUCCUAUUUUCAGUUGGUUUGCCGCGAGGACCAGGGUAAUGAUUAAUAGGGAUAGUUGGGGGCAUUAAUAUUUAAUUGUCAGAGGUGAAAUUCUUGGAUUUAUGAAAGAUUAACUUCUGCGAAAGCAUCUGCCAAGGAUGUUUUCAUUAAUCAAGAACGAAAGUUAGGGGAUCGAAGACGAUCAGAUACCGUCGUAGUCUUAACCAUAAACGAUGCCGACCAGCGAUUAGGAGACGUUGAAUACAAAACACCACCAUGGGCAUUGCGGUCGUCUUUGG